UGGGUAAUCUGCCCUCGAUUCUGGGAUAGCCCGGGGAAACCCGGAUUAAUACCGGAUAGCCUCUCGAGCUUUCGAGCUCGUGAGAAAAGGUAGCUUCGGCCUCCGAUCGAGGAUGAGCCCGCGGCGGAUUAGCUAGUUGGUGGGGUAAAGCCUACCAAGGCGACGAUCCGUAGCUGGUCUGAGAGGAUGAUCAGCCACACUGGGACUGAGACACGGCCCAGACCUCCGUACGGGGAGCAG
rnacentral:rRNA from 1 species